rnacentral:lncRNA from 1 species
UUCAACUGUCUUGAAUAUUCUUCUCAGAAAUGGUAAGUUUGAAGGUUUCCUCUAAUAACUAACUUUCACAAUCAAAUCUUUCAACUAAGAGAUCUUUUAUUCUUUAAAACAGAGGAAGUAAGGUGAGUGGAAGGGGUGAGAGAGGUAUCCCUAAUUUUAUAAGUUAACCCUGUUGAUUGGUGAUUCGAGAUGUAUUCAAAUUCAGGAAAUAACAUCUUUCCCUAAGGGGAGAUGUUGACAGCAAAGUCUGAUGGGUUUCUUCUGAACUAAGCCCAAAAGUCUUCUCAGCACUCAGUCAUAUGGAUAAUCAGUGACCAAAGAGAGAGUUUGUCUUCCACCUUCUAUUCCAACAGCCAGAGGAGGAAGUGAAAUUCAAGCAGCUGGACUUCCCUAACUGCCCCCUUCAAGAUUCCAUUGGAACUUGUGAAGAUUGGAUUUAGCUCUCCCCUGAUUGUAACAGUGAAGAUACUUAGCUCUUCCUUUAUUGUCACAAAGGAGAAGCAGAAGAGGAAGGGACUCAGGGGAAAGAGUGGCAUUUGAAGUCAGAUUAUAUGGAUUCCAAACCUGGCUCUGCUUCCAUAUUCACUGCUUAUGUGACCCUGUGGUGACCAAAAGAAUAUUAUCUCUAACUACCAGGCAAUUGAAGUCAUCAGGGAUGUUGUCUGAUAUUGCUGGGAACAGAGAGGAUUUAAAUGUGGGUGUGACAAUAAGAAUAAAAAAGGAAGAACAAGAAAAAUAAGGAAAAGGAAGAUUCAAAACGUCCA